GACGAACGCUGGCGGCGUGCUUAACACAUGCAAGUCGAACGGAAAGGCCCUGCUUUUGUGGGGUGCUCGAGUGGCGAACGGGUGAGUAACACGUGAGUAACCUGCCCUUGACUUUGGGAUAACUUCAGGAAACUGGGGCUAAUACCGGAUAGGAGCUCCUGCUGCAUGGUGGGGGUUGGAAAGUUUCGGCGGUUGGGGAUGGACUCGCGGCUUAUCAGCUUGUUGGUGGGGUAGUGGCUUACCAAGGCUUUGACGGGUAGCCGGCCUGAGAGGGUGACCGGCGACAAUGGGACUGAGAUACGGCCCAGACGGCUACGGGAGGCAGCAGUGGGGAAUAUUGCACAAUGGGCGGAAGCCUGAUGCAGCAACGCCGCGUGCGGGAUGACGGCCUUCGGGUUGUAAACCGCUUUCGCCUGUGACGAAGCGUGAGUGACGGUAAUGGGUAAAGAAGCACCGGCUAACUACGUG
rnacentral:rRNA from 1 species